UCUGCCCCUAGAUCAUUGCUAGGGUGACAGUUGUGUCUCAUGUGACUCAGUAGCUGUCAGAAAGAGAGGCUAUAUCUAAGCUCAGUGUUGUGGUCUGAGAUCAUCUGAAGAAUGAAGAGUAUAACACA